GGUUGCGAUCAUACCAGCACUAAUGCACCGGAUCCCAAUAGAACUCCGCAGUUAAGCGUGCUUGGGCGAGAGUAGUACUAGGAUGGGUGACCCCCUGGGAAGUCCUCGUGUUGCAACCC
rnacentral:rRNA from 1 species